rnacentral:rRNA from 1 species
AACGAACGCUGGCGGCAUGCCUAACACAUGCAAGUCGAACGAUACCUUCGGGUCCUGUUGCGAACGGGUGCGUCACGCGAGGGAACCUUCACUUAGGUUCGGUAUACCUCCCAGCAAGGGGCGCCAUUUCCAGAUAAAUUCUACUACCCCAUGAUUUAUCGCAUCAGAAUGGGUAAGAGUUAGAUUUGCUAGUUGGUAAGGUAAAAGCCAACCAAGGUGAAGAUACAUAGCUGGUGUGGUAGGAUGACCAGCCACACUGGGACUGUGACACGGCGCAGACUCCUACGGAAGGAAGCAGGGGGGAAUAUUGGACGACGGGCGAGAGCCUGAUCCAGCAAGGCCGCGUGAGUGAGGAGGGCCUGAGGGUUGUAAAGCUGUGUUGACCGCGAUGAUAAUGACAGUACCGGGAGAAAAAGCGCCGGCUAACUACGUG